UAAUGUUUAAAUAUAUAAUUUGUCUAUUUAACUAUGGUGUCGUGCUGAUGUUGGGUGUUGUAUCGAUGUCUGGGUCGACCACUGGUGUACCGAUGUUUCCUUCACCAACUCCAUCACCAACUGGAUUGUUCAUCGUUUAACCAGUUCGCAGUUAUGGUCAACUAUAAUGUCCUGCUGCUGUCUGAUGUUGUAUUGUUGAUGGCUGGGUCGACCAAUAGUGUACCAAUGACUUUUGGGCACGGAUACCAAACCGCAAUGCCGACGCCUUAUUACUACACAACAACAUACGCUUCAGCCGGUUAUUACACCAUCAAGGCUCCAGUGAAUUACACCACACCUUAUGAUGCCCCUAGCUACUACACCGACGCCCUGAAUUAUAGAUAUCCUUCAGUUGCUGCAAGCAACCUAUUCCAAUCCCCAGCAACGUUUACCUGCAGAAGAAAAAGGCAGUUUGCAUGACUUUCACAUCCGGAGUUAACUUUGGCUUCGUGCUGCUGUUGAAUGUUGUAUCGUUUCUGGCUGACCACUGGUCCCUGGGUAUGGUGGAUACCAAGCCGCAACGCUGCCGUCUUACUACACAACAACAUACGUACCUACCUGUUACUACACCGGGACUUCCACUUACUACAUUGAAAAUGCUGAAUAUUACACAGGGACGUAUGCUACCCCAGUUUACUACACCGAGGAACCUAAGCAUUACUCUGCUCCGAGCUACAACAGAGGCUCCUGUUUACUACACCACCAACGCAUCUGAAUGUUACAUGAUAAUCUACGCUGCCCUUAACUACUACACUGGAACUUCGAAGUGCAACACUAUCAAUGUAAAACCAAUUUGCAAGCAAGGUGAUGUUUCCUGGGUAUGGCGGAUAUUAAAUCACAACGUUACUGUCUUACUACGCAAAAACUUACUCAAAGACCUGUUACUACACCGGGAUUUUCCAAUACUACACCGAAAAGGCUGAAUAUUUCACAUGGACAGGGAUAAGGCGUCUAUCCCAGUUUACUACACCGAGGAACCUAAACAUUACUGUGCUUCGAACUACAACAUAGGCUCCUGUUUACUACGCGACCAUCGCUCCCGAGUGUUACGCUGUCCCCAACCGCUACAUUGAAGCUCCGAAGUACUACACCAUUGAAGGAAAACUAAUUCGCAUUCAAGGAUUAUUAUGGUGUUGUCUGUUGUUGGAUGUUGUAUUGUUGAUGGCUGGGUCGACCACGAGUGUACCGAUGUCUCCUGGGUAUGGUGGAUUUUAAGUACUAGUAGCUAUAGAAUGGUACACCACUUUACUGCCUUACUACUUAACAACAUCAACAUACGCAACACCUACUUACUACACUGAUGCUCGUAAAUACCACAUCUCCAAGGCUCCAAGAAUAUACACGAAUAUCUACGCUGCUCCGAGCUACUGCACGGAAGUAUCACUCUACCCCAAGUUACAUCAACAAAACGUCUGAGUACUACACUGAGGAUCUCAAAUACUACACCACCAAAGCUACAAAGCACUUCACCGAGGCUGUAGCUUAUUAAACCACCAAAGCGGUCGAGUACUGAGGGGUUUAAGUACUACCCCUUAAGUCUUAACCUACUGCAGAGCAGUAUGUCAACAACUGCCAUAAUCGUAUGAAAUGUUCGCAAUCAUGGUAUAUACUGUGGUGUUGUGUUGCUGUUGAGGAUGGAUUCAUCGUUGAAAGCUGGGUUGAUCAUUGGUCUACUGAGGCCCCUGGAUAUGACGGUGCAUUACCAAAGUGGCAAAGUGCAUCACCAAAGUGCCAGCAAAUUACAUCGAGGUUUUUAAGUACUACCUCACUAAGGCGGCGGUACCGGAAUAUUACACUACGCAUACUGCCCCUGCUACUACACCGGUGUCCUUAACUACUACAACACCCGGCAACAAUUGAACUAUUCCAAUUCUCAAUAAAAUUUAACUUUGGCUUCGUGCUGCUGGUGAGUGUUGUAUCGUUGAUGGCUGAGUCGACCACUGGUGUAUCGAUGUUCCCUGUGUAUAGUGGUUGGCAAACUGGAAUGCUACUAUCUUGCUACACAACAACAUACGCAAUGAUCAGUUACUACUCCGGGGUCCUCUAUUACUCCGAAGAAAAUUACACAUCCUCGUAUGCUACCCCACUUUACUAUACCGAGGAAUUGAAAUGUUACUGUGUUUCGAUAAACGACAGAGGUUGCUUUUUACUACACCAUCAACACCCCUGAAUGUCAAACUACAACCUACGCUACCCACAACUUCACUGAAGCUCCGUAGUACUACACCAUCAAGUAACAACCAAAUCGCAAUCAAAAGUAAAUAUGCUGUGUUAAACUUGUUUUUUUAUCUUUGGUCUUUUUCUUUUCUUUAAAUGUUCUUUAUGUCUGUUUUCCUUAACAACUCUUUGUCUUUAUCUUUUAAGGAAAAUUUAAAUUGCUGCGUGUUAACUUUGUGCUGACUUAAAAGUUUGAUCUUUUGUCUUUCGAGUAUUCAUUCAACCAUGCAGUAUACGACUGAGGCAACUUGAUUAAUAUCAGGUUUGACACAAUCGAGAACUGCUACAUUAAACAAGCUUUCUGCGCCAAACAAAUAAUAACUUGCAUAUAACUUGCAUCAUGUUAUUAUCGCGGUAGAGAAAGCGACAGGCCCCCCCCCCUGGGGGCCAUAGGAAAAAUAAAUGUAUGUAAAAAUU